rnacentral:rRNA from 1 species
UACGUAGGGCGCAAGCGUUGUCCGGAAUUAUUGGGCGUAAAGAGCUCGUAGGUGGCUGGUUGCGUCUGCCGUGAAAGCCCGUGGCUUAACUACGGGUCUGCGGUGGAUACGGGCCGGCUUGAGGUAGGUAGGGGCAAGCGGAAUUCCUGGUGUAGCGGUGAAAUGCGCAGAUAUCAGGAGGAACACCGGUGGCGAAGGCGGCUUGCUGGGCCUUACCUGACGC